CUUUUGUGUAAUUCUUGCUCUCGACAGCCGUAAAUUUCGUAUGUUCUAAAAUAACUGCACCAGCUACGGGUACUAUCAACGUCAAACAGUAUAAUAAUAUGGGGAUUUAUUAAAACGACCGGCGACAGAACGAUCGGGAAGUUGCGGAAAACCAGAAGUCCUUCCAGUUGUUGGUGGUAAAAUAGCAGGUUGUUUGUACUUUACAUGAUAAGCCGGAAAACUCAGAUAAGACCUGUCAAUAAGAAUAAAAUUGCAUUUUAGAGGGACAUUGGAAUGCGUAUUGUGGCUCUCUGAAGUACGUUAAUGGAUGAUGACUUCUAGGAUAACCCUUGUAGUACUCUCGAUGCAUUUGGCAAGCCUGAA